UGUUGCAAUAGGUCAUUACGGCAAGAUAUAGCUGUUUCGGUUGACUAGUGAAAUCGAGCUAUAAUUUUCGGACUGUAAUGAUUUUUUAUCGAGUUCGGUUUAUGAUUUCUGUCCAUAUAUAUAUAUAUAGAAAUAGACAGGAAAUGAGUGAAUAAAAUAAAAAAAUAGUAGAAAGAGACGACAAAGGAACACGUAGUUAUAUAUAUAUAUAUAUAUAUAUGUUAUAGUAAGUAUUAUAUAUGUGUUUGAUGUAUAAAACAUGGCGGAAAAACGAGAAGGGGUAUUAUAUUGUCAUGCGUGAUAGCUUUAUAUAUUUGUGUUUUAUUAGGUCGAGAAAAUGGUGUUUCUUUUUAUUGGGCGGAGUGGUCUCGCAUGCACACACACAAAAUCCGAUUCAAUUUCCUGUAAACGAUAAAUUGAAAAAAAGAAAACGCUCGCUCGCGCACAUACACGCACCCACACGCAGAUAUAUAUACACAUAUAAACGCAGUGGGAGGUUUAUAGCCGAAAAGUUUCGCACCGGCCUUUUUUUCACCGCAUAUAUACAUAUAUAGAACUCAUAUGUCACACGCAUGUACUAUAUGGUAGGACAAAACGUUAGCAUAAAAUGGCCCCAGAAGAAACAGUGCGAACAGAGAUAUCGGGUAAAUAACCAUCAUGCGCAGAGUAUAAAACGUUUUACAUAUAUUCUAUAGGUACUCGCAUAUGGACUAUACCAUAUCAUAUAUACGAUAAUGCCGCGCGUAGUCUAGAAUGUUUUUGAAAUUUGAUCACGCGCGUUUACAAUAUAAUAAUGUUGAGCUGUUGGAGUAAAUCAAGUCUCGUGAAAUAAUAAUAAACUUAAUUUUUAUAUUUUAAAAAGAAAAAAAACAAUAUGGGCAAAUAGCCUAUAUAAAUUGUAAGGUUUAUAGUACUGCUAUUGCUGAUCGUAAAAUUAAAAUGGUACAAAAAACAAUAAAGCCUCGGAAUCGUUUGAUUAAAACUUAUAUAAUACAUAUUUAUUGACCCGCCGAGGUCGAGAAAAUACUUAUUUACAAAACUAUAAUCGUAUACAUCUAUACGAUAUGUGUACAGUUUAUUCUAAUUUCGUAAAAUUAAUAACACAUCUAUAUGUAGCCAUAUGGCUACAAUGCUACAUAUUAUAGGGCUAUGUGACCUAUAUAGGUAUUUAUAUUAAUAUUAAAAUUUAACAAAAAAAAAACCAUAACAAUUCGUUCGAUUAUGUAAUAGAAUUAAAUUAUUCUAAUGUUUAGCAUACCUACUUUUAAGGUUUGAAUUAAAAGAUAAAGAAGAGGCAUACAAAUCACGAAGAAAUUUAUUUCAUACUAUAUUAUAGAUCCUAUAUAUAUAACGAACGUUUUAACAUUAUAGACAAGUAAUAAAUGGAUAAAAUUAUUUAAUUAUGUAAAGAUAUGAUUGAACAGGAAACAGAGGAGAUUAUCAUAUAAAUGGCUUUAUCCAGUUUAUCCCUUACAUAUAUAGUAGAAUUUAUAGUUUAUAUGUGUAUAGAAAUUAUAAAGAUACUAUUGAUUGAUAUAAUAUAGUAAUUGGCUAAUCUAUAAAAAUAAUAUAAAAUUUAUAG